GCGGGUGUAGCUCAAUGGUAGAGCGCGUGCUUCCCAAGCACGAUGUUGCGAGUUCGAGCCUCGUCGCCCGCU
rnacentral:tRNA from 1 species